UGACAACUGAGAAACAGCAAUAAUAAAAACUGGAAUCUGCCAUUUGAGUUCUUCACCUAUCCCCUCAUCACUGCUAUAGCCAAACAGAAGUGAGAAGACGGAAGAAAAGAAUUCUUACAGAGACAAGACGUAAGAGGAAAGAAGAGAAGAGACGGAGUUUCACCGUGUUAGCCAAGAUGGUCUCGAUCUCUUGACCUCGUGAUCCACCCGCCUCGGCCUCCCAAAGUGCUGGGAUUACAGGCGUGAGCCACCGCGCCUGGCCUUGAUGAGGACGUCCUAAUUUUGAACAGAACAAACAGCACUUGCAACACCCAACCCAUCAGGAAAUCCUGUUGUCUCUGCCUUUGGAAGAUCCAGAACCUCAUGGAUUGUUACCAUUUCCCAGCUACUCACCAUUGCAGCUGGAAACACCGUCCUCUGUCACUGGAUUCCCACGCGCACCCGCCAGCUCCCCCGCUCCAGAGCCUGGCUCCUUCCGCAGCAGCGAGAGGGUCCCCACGCAAGCCAGCCUCAGGUGCUCACUUCAGCAGCACAUCUGCUAAAACUGGAACAUACAGAGAAGAGGAACCUGGCCCCUGUGUAAACAUGACAUGGAAAUUCAUGGGACCUUCCAUAUUUUUAUGAAUAUACUAAAAGCCACUGAAUUGUAGGCAUU